rnacentral:lncRNA from 1 species
GACCCGGGGCCUCAGACCUGCCCCCGCAUCUCGCCGGCGCCAGGCAGUGGGAAGUCAGGUUCUUCCGCCACCUCCCAGCCAGGCACACCUUCGCCUCCGAUUCCGAACCGCCCGGGGACAGAGGCAAGUGGCAAAGCAGGGAGGGCGGAGGUGAGGAGUCGAUACCCCCCACCCCAGGGACCAGGCGCUGCCGCGGGCCCUUUCCCUCCCCCAGGCCCGGGGCAGGAGCUCGGGGAGCCCUUCCUGGUGCCCGCCGUCCUCCUGCGGAGCCAUGGGGAGCGGCUCCAGCGCAUGGCGGCAGCCCGCCCGCCUCGUCCUGGCCCCUGCCCUGACCCGGGGGCGGCCG